GUCACUGGAAAACCAAGUAAGAACACCAAGUCCAGGGUGUGACCCUUCUGGUGUGUGGGUCCAGAAUCAAAUGGUUCAAAAUAAAGAGAGCCCAUGAGACCUAAAAACUUUUUACCCAAAUGUUUAGACUGGCGGCAGACAUGAAUAUUAAAAUCACCCAAGUUCAGAAAACUGUCGUAAUGUGGCAUCAGGGAGUCCAGAAGAUUAGAAAAUUAUAAAAAAAACUCCUUAUUAAAAUUAGGUGGUCUGUAUAGACGGGCACAGAGCAAGGGGGUAGGGAAAUCAACCUUUAAAAGCUGCACCUCAAAGGUUUGAAAGAUUUCACUAGGUAGAAGAAUGCACUUAAUGGAGUUCUUGAAAAUUGUUGCCAAUCCACCUCCACAACCAACGGAUCUCAGAGAAUUAAAAAAUAGGCAGUCUGGAUGAGCAAGUUCUUUAAGAUGUGAAUAAUCACCAGGGCUGAGCCAGGUCUCUGUUACA